GCCGGGUGCAGUGGCGUGCGCCUGUAAUCCAAGUUGCUGGGAGGCUUAGGCUGGCGGAUCGUUUGAGCUCAGGAGUUCUGAGCUCCAGUGGACUAUGCCGAUCGGGUGUCCGCACUAAGUUCGGUAUCGAUAUGGUGCUCCUGGGGGAGCCCGGGACCACCAGGUCGUCUAAGGAGGGGUGCACCGGCCCAGGUCGGAAACGGAGCAGGCCAAAGCCCCCGUGCCGCUCAGUAGUGGGAUCGCGCCUGUGAAUAGACGCUGUGGUGCAGCCUGAGCAAUAUAGCGGGACACAGUCUUUU
ensembl:misc_RNA Metazoa_SRP Metazoan signal recognition particle RNA